rnacentral:rRNA from 1 species
UACGUAGGGUGCAAGCGUUAAUCGGAAUUACUGGGCGUAAAGCGUGCGCAGGCGGUUAUGCAAGACAGAUGUGAAAUCCCCGGGCUUAACCUGGGAACCGCAUUUGUGACUGCAUAGCUGGAGUACGGCAGAGGGGGAUGGAAUUCCGCGUGUAGCAGUGAAAUGCGUAGAUAUGCGGAGGAACACCGAUGGCGAAGGCAGUCCCCUGGGCCUGUACUGACGCUCAUGCACGAAAGCGUGGGGAUCAAACAGG